rnacentral:rRNA from 1 species
CGUAAGCAACCUGCCUAUCAGAGGGGAAUAACAGUGAGAAAUCAUUGCUAAUACCGCAUAAGCUAGUAGUAUCGCAUGAUAUAGCUAGAAAAGGAGCAAUCCGCUGAUAGAUGGGCUUGCGUCUGAUUAGCUAGUUGGUGGGGUAACGGCCUACCAAGGCGACGAUCAGUAGCCGGACUGAGAGGUUGAACCGGCCACAUUGGGACUGAGAUACGGCCCAGACUCCUACGGAAGGCAGCAG